rnacentral:rRNA from 1 species
GAUGAACGCUGGCGGCGUGCCUAAUACAUGCAAGUCGAGCGAACGGACGAGAAGCUUGCUUCUCUGAUGUUAGCGGCGGACGGGUGAGUAACACGUGGAUAACCUACCUAUAAGACUGGGAUAACUUCGGGAAACCGGAGCUAAUACCGGAUAAUAUUUUGAACCGCAUGGUUCAAAAGUGAAAGACGGUCUUGCUGUCACUUAUAGAUGGAUCCGCGCUGCAUUAGCUAGUUGGUAAGGUAACGGCUUACCAAGGCAACGAUGCAUAGCCGACCUGAGAGGGUGAUCGGCCACACUGGAACGGAGACACGGUCCAGACUCCUACGGGAGGCAGCAGUAGGGAAUCUUCCGCAAUGGGCGAAAGCAUGACGGAGCAACGCCGCGUGAGUGAUGAAGGUCUUCGGAUCGUAAAACUCUGUUAUUAGGGAAGAACAUAUGUGUAAGUAACUGUGCACAUCUUGACGGUACCUAAUCAGAAAGCCACGGCUAACUACGUG